GAUGAACGCUGGCGGCGUGCCUAAUACAUGCAAGUCGAGCGAACAGAUAAGGAGCUUGCUCCUUUGACGUUAGCGGCGGACGGGUGAGUAACACGUGGAUAACCUACCUAUAAGACUGGGAUAACUUCGGGAAACCGGAGCUAAUACCGGAUAACAUAUUGAACCGCAUGGUUCAAUAGUGAAAGGCGGCUUUGCUGUCACUUAUAGAUGGAUCCGCGCCGUAUUAGCUAGUUGGUAAGGUAACGGCUUACCAAGGCAACGAUACGUAGCCGACCUGAGAGGGUGAUCGGCCACACUGGAACUGAGACACGGUCCAGACUCCUACGGGAGGCAGCAGUAGGGAAUCUUCCGCAAUGGGCGAAAGCCUGACGGAGCAACGCCGCGUGAGUGAUGAAGGUCUUCGGAUCGUAAAACUCUGUUAUCAGGGAAGAACAAAUGUGUAAGUAUCUGUGCACAUCUUGACGGUACCUGAUCAGAAAGCCACGGCUAACUACGU
rnacentral:rRNA from 1 species